rnacentral:piRNA from 1 species
UGUGCAUAAAACUACAUUAUGUUUGCGUGU